rnacentral:rRNA from 1 species
UACGUAGGGGGCAAGCGUUGUCCGGAAUCAUUGGGCGUAAAGAGCGUGUAGGCGGCCCGAUAAGUCCGCUGUGAAAGUCCAGGGCUCAACCCUGGAAUGCCAGUGGAAACUGUCGGGCUGGAGUCCGGAAGAGGCGAGUGGAACUCCUGGUGUAGCGGUGGAAUGCGCAGAUAUCAGGAAGAACACCAACGGCGAAGGCAGCUCGCUAGGACGGUACUGACGCUGAGACGCGAAAGCGUGGGGAGCGAACAGG